rnacentral:rRNA from 1 species
GACGAACGCUGGCGGCGUGCUUAACACAUGCAUGUCGAACGAUGAAGCCGGAGCUUGCUCUGGUGAAUUAGUGGCGAACGGGUGAGUAACACGUGAGUAACCUGCCCUUGACUCUGGGAUAACUGCUAGAAAUGGUAGCUAAUACCGGAUACGACCCUCGGAGGCAUCUCCAGGGGGUGGAAAGAAUUUCGGUCAAGGAUGGACUCGCGGCCUAUCAGCUAGUUGGUGAGGUAACGGCGCACCAAGGCGACGACGGGUAGCCGGCCUGAGAGGGUGACCGGCCACACUGGGACUGAGACACGGCCCAGACUCCUACGGGAGGCAGCAGUGGGGAAUAUUGCGCAAUGGGCGCAAGCCUGAUGCAGCAACGCCGCGUGAGGGAUGACGGCCUUCGGGUUGUAAACCUCUUUUAGUAGGGAAGAAGCGAAAGUGACGGUACCUGCAGAAAAAGCACCGGCUAACUACGUGCCAGCCGCCGCCGUAA